rnacentral:rRNA from 1 species
GGACAGUGUCUGGUGGGUAGUUUGACUGGGGCGGUCUCCUCCUAAAGAGUAACGGAGGAGCACGAAGGUUGGCUAAUCCUGGUCGGACAUCAGGAGGUUAGUGCAAUGGCAUAAGCCAGCUUGACUGCGAGCGUGACGGCGCGAGCAGGUGCGAAAGCAGGUCAUAGUGAUCCGGUGGUUCUGAAUGGAAGGGCCAUCGCUCAACGGAUAAAAGGUACUCCGGGGAUAACAGGCUGAUACCGCCCAAGAGUUCAUAUCGACGGCGGUGUUUGGCACCUCGAUGUCGGCUCAUCACAUCCUGGGGCUGAAGUAGGUCCCAAGGGUAUGGCUGUUCGCCAUUUAAAGUGGUACGCGAGCUGGGUUUAGAACGUCGUGAGACAGUUCGGUCCCUAUCUGCCGUGGGCGCUGGAGAACUGAGGGGGGCUGCUCCUAGUACGAGAGGACCGGAGUGGACGCAUCACUGGUGUUCGGGUUGUCAUGCCAAUGGCACUGCCCGGUAGCUAAAUGCGGAAGAGAUAAGUGCUGAAAGCAUCUAAGCACGAAACUUGCCCCGAGAUGAGUUCUCCCUGACUCCUUGAGAGUCCUGAAGGAACGUUGAAGACGACGACGUUGAUAGGCCGGGUGUGUAAGCGCAGCGAUGCGUUGAGCUAACCGGUACUAAUGAACCGUGAGG